rnacentral:rRNA from 1 species
UACGUAGGCUGCAAGCGUUAACCGGAAUUACUGGGCGUAAAGCGUGCGCAGGCGGCUUUGCAAGACAGAUGUGAAAUCCCCGGGCUCAACCUGGGAACUGCAUUUGUGACUGCAAGGCUAGAGUACGGCAGAGGGGGAUGGAAUUCCGCGUGUAGCAGUGAAAUGCGUAGAUAUGCGGAGGAACACCAAUGGCGAAGGCAAUCCCCUGGGCCUGUACUGACGCUCAUGCACGAAAGCGUGGGGAGCAAACAGG